UUGAUUCGAGUCCGUCUUCGAACGAAACUCGCUGUAGUCCAAUAGGCGUGCAUUUUGGGCUUCUUUAAGACAGCGACUGCAGGGCCUCUUCCUGUGGUUUGCACCAUGUGGCCUAAAAAGUGUUAAAAGGCGACAACUUCUUUCUCUUUUCGCUGUUGUUUCCGGGAUCAAGCAGGCAGAGAACUGGUUUAACAAAGUGCUGUAAAGUGAACAUUCGGAGCACAUGGAGGUAAGAGGAAGCGUGCAAAGAAAGGAUUGGAGCGUGAAGAGAAGAGAAGAGGCGGGAACAUCAGUGCAGUCACUCAUAAAGUAGACAGCACUACUAAACGUCUCUACACAGUGUAGUGUUUCCUACUUUAUGGAUGAGUGUACUGUAUGCGGCGAGGGAUGAUCUUAUGGAGAACCAAAUGAUGCUGAAUCUGAAUGUCUUGUUUAUUAAAUAUUAAUAAAGAUGGUGUUUCAAUACUGA